CAUGGCGGAGAAGGUGGGCACCUGGCAAAACUCCAGGUUGUGAUGCCUUCACGCUCUUCCACCCUUGUCUAUUUGCACCUUCUGUCGUUCCCUCGGCGGGUUUCGACCCGCCGGCGGCAACAUUGAAAAACCUUUUUGCAGUUAAGCAUCCAAUUCUUCUGAUCAAAAUAUCAAAUCGUUA
rnacentral:misc_RNA from 1 species